rnacentral:rRNA from 1 species
GUGCCAGCCGCCGCGGUAAUACGAGUGGUGCAAACGUUAUUCGGAAUCACUGGGCUUAAAGGGUGCGUAGGCGGCUACGAAAGUCAGGUGUGAAAUCCCUCGGCUCAACCGAGGAACUGCGCUUGAAACUACGUGGCUCGAGGAAGACAGAGGUGAGCGGAACUGAUGGUGGAGCGGUGAAAUGCGUUGAUAUCAUCAGGAACACCGGUGGCGAAGGCGGCUCACUGGGUCUUAUCUGACGCUGAGGCACGAAAGCCAGGGGAGCAAACGGGAUUAGAUACCCCGGUAGUCCUGGCUGUAAACGAUGAGUACUAGUCUGUAGGGACCCCCACAUCCCUUCGGACGUAGCGAAAGUGUUAAGUACUCCGCCUGGGGAGUAUGGUCGCAAGGCUGAA